CGGUCGACGUACGUCACGGUAGGUCCGACGACGACGCCGCGGUAACACCGGCGGCCCGAGUGGUGAUCGUGAUUAUUGGGGUCUAAAGGGUCCGUAGGCCGGUUUGGUCAGUCCUCCGGGAAAUCUGAUAGCUCAACUAUUAGGCUUCGGGGGAUACUGCCAGACUUGGAACCGGGAGAGGUAAGAGGUACUACAGGGGUAGGAGUGAAAUCUUGUAAUCCCUGUGGGACCACCUGUGGCGAAGGCGUCUUACCAGAACGGGUUCGACGGUGAGGGACGAAAGCUGGGGCACGAACCGGAUUAGAUACCCGGGUAGUCCCAGCCGUAAACGAUGCUCGCUAGGUGUCAGGCAUGGCGCGACCGUGUCUGGUGCCGCAGGGAAGCCGUGAAGCGAGCCACCUGGGAAGUACGGCCGCAAGGCUGAAACUUAAAGGAAUUGGCGGGGGAGCACAACAACGGGUGGAAGCCUGCGGUUUAAUUGGACUCAACGCCGGACAACUCACCGGGGGCGACAGCAAUAUGUAGGCCAAGCUGAAGACUUUGCCUGAAUCGCUGAGUGGUGGUGCAUGG
rnacentral:rRNA from 1 species